AUGGGCAACUUGCGGAAGGUUCAUUAGCGAGUUUGAACCGGGUUGUAGCUGGCCUUCCGAGGCAUGUGCACGCCCUGCUCAUCCACUCUACACCUGUGCACUUACUGUGGGCUUCAGAUUGCGAGGCACGCUCUUUACCGGGCUUGCGGAGCAUAUCUGUGCCUGCGUUUAUCACAAACUCUAUAAAGUAACAGAAUGUGUAUUGCGAUGUAACACAUCUAUAUACAACUUUCAGCAACGGAUCUCUUGGCUCUCGCAUCGAUGAAGAACGCAGCGAAAUGCGAUAAGUAAUGUGAAUUGCAGAAUUCAGUGAAUCAUCGAAUCUUAGAACGCACCUUGCGCUCCUUGGUAUUCCGAGGAGCAUGCCUGUUUGAGUGUCAUGAAAUCUUCAACCUACAAGCUUUUGUGGUUUGUAGGCUUGGACUUGGAGGCUUGUCGGCCGUUAUCGGUCGGCUCCUCUUAAAUGCAUUAGCUUGGUUCCUUGCGGAUCGGCUCUCGGUGUGAUAAUGUCUACGCCGUGACCGUGAAGCGUUUGGCGAGCUUCUAACCGGCUUAUAAGACAGCUUUAUGACCUCUGACCUCAAAUCAGGUAGGACUACCCGCUGAACUUAAGCAUAUCAAUAAGCGGAGGAAAUCUCCAA
rnacentral:rRNA from 1 species